rnacentral:misc_RNA from 1 species
GUGGGAGGGGGCUUGCCCCCGAUGGCGUUGUGUCAGUCACCGACUCUUAGUCUGGCAAGCUGCAAUCGGGGGCAAGCCCCCUCCCAC